AACGAACGCUGGCGGCAUGCCUAACACAUGCAAGUCGAACGAGACCUUCGGGUCUAGUGGCGCACGGGUGCGUAACGCGUGGGAACCUGCCUUUAGGUUCGGAAUAACUCAGAGAAAUUUGAGCUAAUACCGGAUAAUGUCUUCGGACCAAAGAUUUAUCGCCUUUAGAUGGGCCCGCGUAAGAUUAGCUAGUUGGUGGGGUAAAGGCCUACCAAGGCGACGAUCUUUAGCUGGUCUGAGAGGAUGAUCAGCCACACUGGGACUGAGACACGGCCCAGACUCCUACGGGAGGCAGCAGUGGGAAUAUUGGACAAUGGGCGAAAGCCUGAUCCAGCAAUGCCGCGUGAGUGAUGAAGGCCUUAGGGUUGUAAAGCUCUUUUACCCGAGAUGAUAAUGACAGUAUCGGGAGAAUAAGCUCCGGCUAACUCCGUGCCAGCAGCCGCGGUAAU
rnacentral:rRNA from 1 species